AUAAAAAGAGGAGAGAAAAAAAAAAAAGGAGAAUAAAAACCGAGGAAAAAAAAAAAAAAAAAGGCGCGCCCCUCCCCCCGGGGGAGUUCAAACGUCGCAACACCCACUCCCGCCGCUGAUUGGGCAGCUCUGGGUGACGUCACAAGGCUCCGCCCCGCCGAUUGGUCCCCGCCGCGGUCCGUCACACCCCGCGCCCGGGCGCGUUUCUUUGUGCGCGGCCGCGGGCGCUCCAGACGGCGCGCACGGAGCCGGCGCGCACGUACGGGCGGGGAGGGGGAAAGCGGGGGAAUCUGUCAAGCUCAGCGGUUUUCUCAAAUCCCUGACCAAAAAAAAAAAAAAAAAUUAAAAAAAAAAAAAAAAAAGCAGCUGCGGCGCAGCCCUGCGCGCCCGCGCUCCCUCCGCGCCCAGAGCCCGCGCAGACAAUAGCGAAUUCCCCCUGCGAAAGCGUGGGAAUCGGGUUAAAAAUACAAAAACAGGAGUUUAAGCGGCGCCGCGUCCCACGGGCAGGGAUAACAGGGAUAACACAGAUAACAGCGCAAGAGAAACUUUGCGGGCUCUGGCGGCUGGCGGCACUUUCUUCUUUUUUUUUUUUUUUUUUUCUCUUCGCAAUUUUUUAUAUUUUUAUGGCUAAAAUCGACUCGCAGCCGUUGGGAAUCGGAAGGGAAAACCCGCCGCAGCCAACCGCCGCCGGCUCUUAGUUUGCAGUUUGGGAGCCCCAGACCUGCGCUGGUGGCGGUGCGGCUCCAUGCGCGGCAGCGCGUUUGAACCUCCUGGCAGCGGCUCUGCUUUCCUGGUUACCUCCUGGUGACCCCUCGGAAGGAGCCCGCCUGCUCCCAGCGGUCUGGAGACCACAGGUUGGAAACCACUGGUUUUGCAUAAACUUGUGUUAUUCGGCGCAGGCUUAGGUCGCGAGGGCUCCUCUUAGCAAAUUGUCGAAGGAUGAUGUGCGCUGCAUAAAUUAAAACAUCAUGUCCCCUUGCCAUGUGAAAGCAUUAUUAAAAGAAGCAUAAUAAGGGAUUUCCACCAUGUUAUCAAGCGUACAAAGAGAACUCCAAAUGGGAGGGAUGGCUGUCAUCGGGGUAGAACAAGCUGGGAUUUUGGAGAGGCUUGAGAAGCGCUUUGAAUAGCCCGUCAGUUGGACAAGGAUCAGCGCUGACAAUAGCCGGGCUAUAUGUGGUAUGGCCUGUUAACAUACAGCAGCAGUCAUUAAAGGCCUGAGGCAGACAACAGGGCUCUCCUGGGCCCUGAGUGAUGUUGGUGGCUUUGGGAGAGCCACUCUGGCUGCCCUGGGAGCAGCUUCACCCCGCUAAAAGCCAGAAGCUCCCUGAAAUCUCCAAUCCUGACCCUUUUCCAUCAAGACCUUAGAGCCAUAGACGGCUUACUCGCAUCCCCAAAAGACCCAAGUUCCAGUGUGGUGGAAGGAAAUCAAUGUCCAGAUGUUUCUCUGUUGUCCCACAACCGACUAUGGAACUAUCUACAAAUCCCAGUAGAAAUGCCACAGAGAAACAGUAGUUUAGUGCUAUGCCCAACCUUGUCCUGCCAUCCGCCAUGAAAUAACAAUAUUCUAAAGCUACCAAAAAUUCUGUAGGGUUAUUCUGUAACACUCUCUCCUGGGAAGAGACUAUUUUGAUUCCACAGGUGCACAAAGAACUGGGCAUAAUAGGGUUUUCCUCCUUAAUUUAAAAGCCCCAGAUCCUGAAAUAGAGUUCCCCAUAGCAGGGAUGUUGGAACUUGAUGAUAUCUGAGAUAUCUUCCAAACCAAGCCAUUCUAUGAUUCUACAAUAAACACCAUGGUUUUGUGAAUGCUAUGUCGUCCUAAAAUAGGAGGGCAGAACUUUCAUCUUCCAGGCUCCAAAUUUCAGGGGGUAGCUUAAAUAAGCAGAGUAGGAUGUUUGAUGGAAAUUCUCACCUUACGCCACUACUGCAUUCACAUAUGUGAAUAAUACUGUGUUUCUAUGCAAUAUUUUCUGUCCAUCGCCAUGAUUCCCAGCAGUAUGAAAGCAUACAUGUUAGACUAUGCAAUUUAGAAUCUAUGAUCCUAAGUGUCAAAGGAAAUUAAGCUGUGAUCCAAUGACCAAGAUCCUGAAAAUAAAAAUUAGUUAUCACAUGUCAGGCAUUUAAACUCUAACAAUCACAUCAAUUUGGGAGUCUGUAGGUAUAUCUAAUUUCUCAAAUAAAGUUAGGAGAACAGAGGGGGAAAACAGAUUCUCACAUUAUUCAUAAAUGUUAGCAGGAUGAUGAAGAAGUACUGCAGUCCCUAUCUGGCAGAUGAAAACUGCUACACCAUUUGGGGUCUAGGCCAUGGGUGCAUCGCCAAAGCCACAUCCAUGUGGGGAAUUAAAGCAGCUGUGCUAAGAGCAAGUGGGAGUAAGCACACUAAAAACUGGUCAAUCUUUGUGUGAAAAGACCUGCUUUGGCCGUGAGCUCCCGGCGGCAUCGCUGCCUGGCACGGCCGCGCGUGGGGCGCUGGCUGCGGCGCCCAGCGCGGCGCAGAAACGCCUGCAGAGCUGUAGUGCAUUUCCACAGGGUCUGGAGUCUAUUGCGAAAUGCGCUGCGGAGGAAAUAACUUCCAGCAGAAGUGUGCAGGCUGCAGAAAGGAAGCAACAGAACGGACAGAGGCGGGAGAGGCAGCGUUUCCCCUUUUGUUUUGCCGUAGAUCUUCUUAUGGGGAGCAAAAGAAGUGGUAGCAUUUUUAAGAUAAAAACCCCUUUGCAAGCAGGGUUUAUUUGAAGAAAUGAAAUAUACCUUGAAGUGAAAGUUCCCUGUGAAAGUGGAUGGAGUUUAAUAAGCUCGCUGUGGUUUACGAGUGGGCUCAAGCAGUGCCCGUUGGGCCAGGCCAGACCGUGGGCCAGCAGGAACCUAAAACUCCCUUCUUACUCCCUUCUUAUGUUGAUGCCACCAUCCAGCUGGAUAAAUCCCCUGUUCACAGUCAGAAAAGAUGCAAAUAUGUACAGUUAUCCUCAGCUAUAUUUUAUUUGUACACAGUCCCGCAGUGUUAUCACUGCUGGAAGCUGAGGGACACCUCUCACAAUGGUACGAAAUCAUUUUCCAGCGAUACGGAGUGAUUACACCAUGCAGAACUGAUACUGCUGGUGUCCUAAAUCCCAUGUUUUAUCAAGCAGUUGGGCAUAAACACUUUGCUCCUAAUCUCGCACACCUCAAUGAAAAUUUCACUUGAUAAAGUUUGCGCAAGAGUGGUAUAAACAUAGUGUGGCAAAUAUUGUUUAUAUACCCAUCCACACCCAUCCACACAGUAUUUAUUUUAGUAUAUUAUAUAUCCAUGUAUUGUCAUAUUUAUUUAUGCAAUCUGUUUCUCAAAAGGAAAGUGAGUCUUUUGUCCCUGCUUUUACAUGAGAACGUUUUAUAUUCAGGGUUUGCUCAGAAUAUAAAGGCUGAGAUUCAAUACAGGGUGUGAAAAAUGAACCUGAGGAAUUGCUGACUGGUCUUUGUAAAGUUUCAGAUAGCACAAACAGUUACGUGACAAAGAAAAGUUAUGUCUAAGAGAAAACAGGAAUAUUAAUACUAAUAUUAAACAUCAACCUAUGCUGCUUGCAAGCAGUGGUGGUCUUUUCACCCUCAUUAACAUGCAUUCCCUGCUGCCCUUCGCUGCAGGCUUUUCUCUGAAGUCUGUAACUUUCACAAUGAGAUGGGCAUUAUUUCCCCAAAUAAAUAAAUAAAUAAAUUCAAAGCAGCAAUCUA